UCUUUAACAAAAAUGAGGCAACGUUAACUUAAAUACAAGGUUGUGUUUGUGGGUUGAGGCUAAGUGCAGGGAACUCCAGAUGAGAUUAGCAUUACUUAGGUGAAAGCAGCAGCAGUCAAGAUCUGGAUUUGGGGCCAAGGUAAAUAAGAAGUUGAAACAAGGACUGCAGACUUGUGUAUGCCUCGGUGUCUUUGGUCAUGUAAAGAGCUCUCUG
rnacentral:lncRNA from 1 species